AGGUUUGAAGAGAGCAUAGAUGAAGACCAAGACCACAGUGAGGAAGCAGGACACAGCCACUGCAGCUACCACCAGCCAUGUAAAUGUGGGGUCUGCGAAGGGAGAGGCAGAGCGCCCGCCCAUCAAGGUAUGAUGACUCCACUGAUUGGCCAUUGACCAGCCAAGUGACCACAGUGGAACCUGCUAUUUGACAUUCAGUAAGCACGUUGCAAAACAGCUCCAGUCCUGAACCUAAAUGAAGUCAGAGCUUGCUUGCUGAAGCGUGAUGCUGGUCCUGUAAACUAUUAUGCUGUUGUCGUCGUGAGAAAAGUCCUGCAGGGAUUUCAAAGUUACAUAGCGGUGAGCCUGGAGUGGCAAUGACUCGGAGACUUCAUUCACCUUAUGACAAGUCAGUGUACCAUCAAAAUGAUUUUG